GAUGAACGCUGGCGGCGUGCUUAACACAUGCAAGUCGAACGAUGAACCUCACUUGUGGGGGGAUUAGUGGCGAACGGGUGCGUAACACGUGAGUAACCUGCCCUUGACUCUGGGAUAAGCCUGGGAAACCGGGUCUAAUACUGGAUACGACCUUCUGGCGCAUGCCAUGUUGGUGGAAAGCUUUUGUGGUUUUGGAUGGACUCGCGGCCUAUCAGCUUGUUGGUGGGGUAAUGGCCUACCAAGGCGACGACGGGUAGCCGGCCUGAGAGGGUGACCGGCCACACUGGGACUGAGACACGGCCCAGACUCCUACGGGAGGCAGCAGUGGGGAAUAUUGCACAAUGGGCGCAAGCCUGAUGCAGCGACGCCGCGUGAGGGAUGAAGGCCUUCGGGUUGUAAACCUCUUUCAGUAGGGAAGAAGCCGGCUUUUGGGUUGGUGACGGUACCUGCAGAAGAAGCGCCGGCUAACUACGUG
rnacentral:rRNA from 1 species